rnacentral:SRP_RNA from 1 species
AGGAGGUUGGUGAUGGACGAACUACUCGCCAAUCGGGUCAGGUCUGGAAAGAAGCAGCCCUAACGAGUUUCUGUACGGGUCAUUGUGCCAAUCUCCCUGUU